ACUGAACGCUGGCGGCAGGCCUAACACAUGCAAGUCGAGCGGAUGAAGAGAGCUUGCUCUCUGAUUUAGCGGCGGACGGGUGAGUAAUGCCUAGGAAUCUGCCUGGUAGUGGGGGAUAACGUUCCGAAAGGAACGCUAAUACCGCAUACGUCCUACGGGAGAAAGCAGGGGACCUUCGGGCCUUGCGCUAUCAGAUGAGCCUAGGUCGGAUUAGCUAGUUGGUGAGGUAAUGGCUCACCAAGGCUACGAUCCGUAACUGGUCUGAGAGGAUGAUCAGUCACACUGGAACUGAGACACGGUCCAGACUCCUACGGGAGGCAGCAGUGGGGAAUAUUGGACAAUGGCGAAAGCCUGAUCCAGCCAUGCCGCGUGUGUGAAGAAGGUCUUCGGAUUGUAAAGCACUUUAAGUUGGGAGGAAGGGCAGUAAGUUAAUACCUUGCUGUUUUGACGUUACCGACAGAAUAAGCACCGGCUAACUUCGUGCCAGCAGCCGCCGUAACAC
rnacentral:rRNA from 1 species